rnacentral:rRNA from 1 species
UACGUAGGGCGCAAGCGUUGUCCGGAAUUAUUGGGCGUAAAGAGCUCGUAGGCGGUUUGUCGCGUCUGCUGUGAAAACCUAAGGCUCAACCUUGGGCUUGCAGUGGGUACGGGCAGACUAGAGUGGCGGUAGGGGUGACUGGAAUUCCGUGGUGAUAGCGGUGGAAUGCGCAGAUAUCAGGAGGAACACCGAUGGCGAAGGC